rnacentral:rRNA from 1 species
GUGAGUAGUUCAGAGUUUGAUCCUGGCUCAGGAUGAACGCUAGCGGCAGGCUUAACACAUGCAAGUCAGGGGCAGCAUGAGUGUUAGCAAUAACACUUGAUGGCGACCGGCGCAAGGGUGCGUAACGCGUGGGCAACUUGCCCGUUUCAGGGGGAUAACCGGUGGAAACGCCGACUAAUACCCCAUGGCAUCAGUUGGAGGCAUCUCCUACUGAUUAAAGAAUUUCGGAAACGGAUAGGCUCGCGUGACAUUAGCUAGAUGGCGGGGUAACGGCCCACCAUGGCGACGAUGUCUAGGGGUUCUGAGAGGAAGGUCCCCCACACUGGAACUGAGACACGGUCCAG